CCUACGGGAGGCUGCAGUGGGGAAUAUUGGACAAUGGGCGAAAGCCUGAUCCAGCCAUGCCGCGUGUGUGAAGAAGGCCUCGGGUUGUAAAGCACUUUCAGUGGGGAAGAAAGCCUUGGGGCUAAUACCCUCGAGGAAGGACAUCACCCACAGAAGAAGCACCGGCUAACUCCGUGCCAGCAGCCGCGGUAAUACGGAGGGUGCGAGCGUUAAUCGGAAUUACUGGGCGUAAAGCGCGCGUAGGCGGUCUGAUAAGCCGGUUGUGAAAGCCCCGGGCUCAACCUGGGAACGGCAUCCGGAACUGUCAGGCUAGAGUGCAGGAGAGGAAGGUAGAAUUCCCGGUGUAGCGGUGAAAUGCGUAGAGAUCGGGAGGAAUACCAGUGGCGAAGGCGGCCUUCUGGACUGACACUGACGCUGAGGUGCGAAAGCGUGGGUAGCAAACAGGAUUAGAUACCCGUGUAGUC
rnacentral:rRNA from 1 species